rnacentral:piRNA from 1 species
UCGAGAUUCUUUGCAUCUUUA